rnacentral:rRNA from 1 species
AGUGAACGCUGGCGGUAGGCCUAACACAUGCAAGUCGAACGGCAGCACAGUAAGAGCUUGCUCUUACGGGUGGCGAGUGGCGGACGGGUGAGGAAUACAUCGGAAUCUACUUUUUCGGGGGGGAUAACGUAGGGAAACUUACGCUAAUACCGCAUACGACCUACGGGUGAAAGCAGGGGAUCUUCGGACCCUGCGCGAUUGAAUGAGCCGAUGUCGGAUUAGCUAGUUGGCGGGGUAAAGGCCCACCAAGGCGACGAUCCGUAGCUGGUCUGAGAGGAUGAUCAGCCACACUGGAACUGAGACACGGUCCAGACUCCUACGGGAGGCAGCAGUGGGGAAUAUUGGACAAUGGGCGCAAGCCUGAUCCAGCCAUACCGCGUGGGUGAAGAAGGCCUUCGGGUUGUAAAGCCCUUUUGUUGGGAAAGAAAAGCAGCAGGUGAAUACCCCGCUGUUCUGACGGUACCCAAAGAAUAAGCACCGGCUAACUUCGUG